CAAGUCGAACGAUUAAAGCUCUCUUCGGAGAGUGCAUAAAGUUGGCGCACGGGUGAGUAACACGUAAGUAAUCUACCUCUGAGUGGGGAAUAACGUCCGGAAACGGACGCUAAUACCGCAUAAUGCAGCGGCACCGCAAGGUGACAGUUGUUAAAGAUUUAUCGCUUGGAGAGGAGCUUGCGGCAGAUUAGCUAGUUGGUAAGGUAAUGGCUUACCAAGGCUACGAUCUGUAGCCGGUCUAAGAGGACGGUCGGUCACACUGACACUGAAUAACGGGUCAGACUCCUACGGGAGGCAGCAGUCGGGAAUUUUGGGCAAUGGGCGAAAGCCUGACCCAGCAACGCCGCGUGAAGGAUGAAGUAUUUCGGUAUGUAAACUUCGAAAGAAUAGGAAGAAUUAAUGACGGUACUAUUUAUAAGGUCCGGCUAACUACGUGCCAGCAGCCGCGGUAAUACGUAGGGACCAAGCGUUGUUCGGAUUUACUGGGCGUAAAGGGCGCGUAGGCGGCAUGACAAGUCACUUGUGAAAUCUUCGGGCUUAACCCGGAACGGCCAAGUGAUACUGUCGCGCUAGAGUGCGGAAGGGGCAAUCGGAAUUCUCGGUGUAGCGGUGAAAUGCGUAGAUAUCGAGAGGAACACCUGAGGCGAAGACGGGUUGCUGGGCCGACACUGACGCUGAGUGCGCGAAAGCCAGGGGAGCAAACGGGAUUAGAUACCCCGGUAGUCCUGGCCCUAAACGAUGAAUACUUGGUGUCUGGAGUUCAUAGUGCUCCGGGUGCCGUCGCUAACGUUUUUAGUAUUCCGCCUGGGGAGUACGCUCGCAGAGUGAAACUCAAAGGAAUUGAC
rnacentral:rRNA from 1 species